rnacentral:lncRNA from 1 species
AUUAGCAAAGAGUUGCUCUAGGAUAAGGAUGGGGUUGGGCCCAAUAACUGUUAGGUGAGGGACCCAAUGAUGGCCUUGCACCUGCUUGAAAAUGGUGGGUCGAGCUUAACUAAGAAGUAUAGGUAAUAAUUGUUAGGUGAGCCCACAUGACUUAGAGACCAAGUCGCUGCAAUAUGCUUAGAGAAGUAUUUGGGCAAAGAGUUGCCUACGCAUCGGUAUGCAUAUUACCAAUAACUGUUAGGUGAGGUGCAUGUC